AAAAAAACAAUAUGAACACAGACCCAAUAUGAACUUAUAAAUAACUUUUACCUAAACAGUCUCAUGCCACCUGUUUACCGCUUCAGUUGUACUGUGUAAAUCAAGUACCAUACACAACUUGCAUAUGUUGUUGUAGGCAUGUUGCGUCCUUGAUUUACGUAGUACAGUACAACUCAAGUAGUAAGCAGAUUGCAUUAGACAGUUUUAGGCAAAAGUUGUGUAGUGUAAAUCAGCCUUUACAUAUUUUAACAUAUACUGUAUGCUGGACAAAAAACACUAUGUAGGCAAUAUUCUAUAUACAUGUAGUUACACCCAGCUUCGAGACUUCGAUAUAGUGACGGAUAUACAGUACAUAC